AAUUGCGAAAAUCUCAGUUGUGAGUAGGUUGUUCUUUUUCUCAGACAAAACUCUUUUUGAAAAGAAAAUUUCGAUUGGUAAACGCGUAUUAAUUGCACUGCAAAUUGAUCAAUCUGAACAGAUGAAUUAGCAGUAAAUUUUCUAAACUCAAAUCGAUCUUCGACUAGUAUUGGAAUUAAGACGGAGUGGUGUGUUUUAGUCCAGUUUAUUUGGGGCACAAAACGAAGUUAUUGUUGGACAUUUUGGAUAAAAAAUUGACUUCAGAAACACAAAUUAUCUAUCUGGAAAAUUUAAAAAAUCUGCAUUGUUGAAGAUAAUAUCAGAUACGUGCAACAUGAUAAGCCUGAAAAUAAAAACUUUGGACUCCCAAGACCAUGAUUUUACGGUUGAGGAUGAUAUAACUGUGCGCCAGUUUAAAGAGCAUAUUGCAUCCAAUACCGGAAUAUCUGCGGAUAUGCAACGUCUAAUUUACUGCGGACGAGUUUUGAAUGAUGAAAAACCCUUGCGAGAGUACGACGUAAACGGUAAAGUUGUCCAUUUGGUGGAACGACCUCCGCCCCGAGCAAAUCGUUCCGGUGAUACAGCGACUUCAAAUGCGUCGUCCACACCGCAACCGUCACAGAAUAGCCGUCGUAGCAACAAUUUCGGUGAUGCCUUUCGCCGGGCACUCGAUCUCGACGGAAUGGUUGUUGGUGCAAUGGCUAUACCGAUGGGCGGCAAUGCUGGAUCCACACACGGACUUACAACAACAGUCAAUCCAUCGUCAACAUUGUGCAUGAAUCGUAUUGCCGUUGCCAGACAUAUGCUGGAGUGUGCCAAUAACAUCGUCACAUUUCUGGAGAAUCCAGAGAGAGGUUUGAACAACAGCGAAAUGGAUAUGCUGGCACAGCAAACAUUGGAGUCGACUGUGUUUGAAUUGGGCAUUUCAGCUGUAAGUGAUGCCGAUGUACCACAACAAGAUGUGCAAAAUUUCGUGUCCGCUGUUCAAGGUGCAAUGUCAGCUGCAUUUCGACAGAAUGGCCUCACAAACAUUGAACUCACUACACAAAGUGGAUCUAGUGACGGAUCUGGCGGAGGACCUAGUAUUUUGUUCGGUGGCAAUGCAACUCCACUAAUUGUUCAUGGAACUGUGCCACCACCGCAACCACCGAGUGGAUUAAUUAAUCCGCAAGGAGAAGUUGAAGUGGCAAGUGUUAGAGUUUCCGUACCAAAUCGCUCUCAAAGUGCAACCUCAUCACCGACCCGUAACGGUGAUGACACCGCAACUAGCAACGGAUCAAAUCCAGCUGGGGCAACCCCAUCCAGAAAUCAAACAACCAGUCCUCAAGUCUUAGCCGAAGUAGUCCAACAAAUGCGAACCGUACAAUCAAGAAUGGAGCCAUAUGUACAACAGUAUUACGACUUGUUGCAGAAUGAUCCGGCAUUUGAAGAAUCUGACACCACUGGUCGGGAGAAUGCACAACGUGUGUUCGAUCGGGUUUCGGAAGCUUUGCAUUACAUGUCGCAUGCACAGCACGCCAUCAGUGAUUUGAUGCUCAAUCUUUCAUUGACAACACCACGACAUCUCUGCUGUCGUCCGAUUUUAGUCGAGCAAAGUGCGUUCGUCAGUUCCGGCAUUGCCAUUCCGAAUCUCGUACGCCGUCAGGAUGCUGGCACCAACAAUGGGAACAACAAUGAAACAGCUACAGCAAACAAUAACAACACAGCACCAACUGCUGCAGUCACACCGGGUCAGCGUAUAGAAGUGCCUUUGACUGGUCCAGUCCCAUCAACUGUAGAAAUAAUUUCUGCGCCAGCAACAUCCACCCAACCAUCCAGUGAAAGUAAUGACGGUGGAAAUGGAAUUGCAGCAGCCGCAGCCCAAGGAGCAGUAAAUCGUCAACUGCAUGUAGCUCGGCUCAUUCAGGCCGUCGUUAAUUCUGUUCCCAUGUAUGCCGAUGUUCAUGUCGAAAUCAAUCCACGCAAUGGAUCCGAUCAGACCAGUCCCCAAUCGACAAAUGGAUCAACACCGCAGUCGGCCGCAGCACAAUCUACUACGGCAGAAACAUCGCCAUUGAAUGGUGAGAACGCUGCCGGCACGCCCAUUAACAAUGAGUUAACAAUUACCGUCGAUUUAGGAGCUGAUCAGCCAAGAGUUACAACAGCUACGCAUCCAACGACAUCCACACAGACACGUUCAACUGCUCGGCCCCAAGUACAUUUGGCCAGCAUUCCAGCAACGCAUAUGCGAAGCUUACGCCCGGUACCGAUACCAUCGAUACAAUUGUCGUCGUUCGAUCGAUUUUUGCCAUGCAACAGCCACCAUGUGCGCCAGAAUCAGGAUGUGAACGCUCGGCCACAACAUUUCCAUGUUGCGCAUCCCAGACGCGGUACAAUCCGACGAAGAACAUACAGCUUCCAGCGUGUACCACAGAGUACAUGGAAUCGUUUGGAAGACGAAAUCGCCAACCGUGACAGUGAUCAAGCUAUUCGUUUGUUUGGAUGUGAAAUUCCCAUCCGUGACCUGAUCAAUCUAACACCGAGUCCCAGUGUCUUCAACCGAAUUCGUAGCGAUUUACAAGCCUAUGUAACGCAACGUUUUGGCACACCACCCGACAUGACUGGACCAUUCGCCCACAUUUUGAACGUACUGCAUGACUCUUGCCUCAGCUCAAGCUUUUCACAUCCAAGCUACAAUGCUCUACAUUCCGUCAACAAUUUGAUCCAUCACACCUUGCCCACUGUGGUCAGUCUAAUUCUAAAUGAUGAUUCCGAUCAAUUUGGAGUGCGAAUUUUGCGUACAUUGAACGAAUUCAUCCGACGGCUGUUCAUCAUUCUGAUGAUUCUCGGCGGAUACAUAUCAGCGAAGCAAUUUUUGGCAGAAAUGAUUACCAUUGGAUUGCAGCCAAACAGACGUGGUGUUGUUCGGGCACUGCAAAGUCGGGUCAUUCAGGCUAUCGCCAGACGGUUACAAACAUUCCAGCGCAUUACCGAUGAGGUGGCACCUGAAGUGCAGGAAUUCCUAGUUAUUCAUUUGGAAGGUCCACCAGUGACUUCAUCCGCCGCCAGUUCCUCUUCACCACAGGUAAAAAUUUCAUUCCAAAAGCAACCAUGAAAAGCUAACAAAUUUUCGCUUAGCCAAUGGAAACUGAUGAUGUGAUUCCUACUACAUCAACCGAAGAACCAAUUACUGACGAUGAAAUUUUACCGUCACCACCGACCGCUGGCAAUGUGUUAGCGGAGGCCAGUGCUCCGAUUGAUACAGAACCAUUGCCUAAUGUUGUUGUCGGAUCAGAAAGCUGGCACAAUGGUAUGCCACCAACUUGGCUGCCAGUUAUUACCAGAGAUAUGGGUCGUCAACGUCGACAGAGUCCCCAAGCUCCCUACUCAGAUGCCUACCUGUGCGGUAUGUCGUCGAAGCGUAGAAAAUUAAUAUCGAGCACAAAACCGUCAGGCAGCAAUCCUUCGCAAAUACUGACUGAUACACUGCGUCAAGUGAUUCAAUCUCAAAGCAAUGCAAAUUCAAUUAUGUUAACGACCGAAGAAAGUUUGGCAGCGCAUCCACAUAUCCAAGAACCUUACGGAUCGUUCGAGCAAGCUGUACGUAGUAAUAUACAAAAACGUAUCGAAAGUGAUCCUGACUACAAUCCGGAACGGUAUCCAAAUUGUGCUAAGUGGAUGAAUUCGAAAAAGUGAAACGAAAUUGGAAAAUAAUUAAGUGGAUUCAUCAUAGAGAAGAGGGGGACGCUUCCAAUAACGAUUCGAUUCAGUUUUAUGUUUUUCUUUUUUUUUUACUUUACUUUCCACUCAUUCAGUUUAAUUUUUUGAAAAUUUGAGAUCCAGUGGCAUAGCAUACGACAUAAUAAUGAGAUAAUGAAAUUAAUAGGAAAUUGAUAAGCGACAAUUUCGACACAUACUUCAAAUAAUGGGUCACGGAACAAUUGAAAAAACAUAAAAUUUUGUGAAAUCGUUUGUUCAUUUUUUGCUUUAACGAAAAUAAAAAAAAAUCGUUUUUGUUGUCGUGAAA